ACAGAACAGACGUCCUCGUAAUCAAACCCCUCUAAUUAUAUUGCCACAUUGAAUAAGGAAUUCCAAAGAUCUUCCUCAUUAUUUUUCUAUUCUCAAAACGUCAGUCAAGUGCUGAUUCCAUCCCACCCCUGUUAAGAGGCAAGGUUAAGCAGGUGAACGACCAGGUCUUGGUGGUCUGCAAGGGAGGUGAUGAUGGUGGUUGUUCUGCUUCUUGAAUUAAAAAAUACACAAUAAAGACAAGACUAUUCUUUUAUUGUUUGAUGAUUCUGGAGUGGAGCCAUUUUGUUUUGCCUUUUGAUAUCUGUUGCUGCAUCAGUUAAAGCCAACCGAUACUACACACAUCCACGAAUGACGCCUACACGGUUUACGGGCAGCCAAUUAUCAUGCCUUUUGGCCAUACAAUUGAACAUGAAGAGAUGCUUGAAGUUGUAAUACUUGAAGGUCAAGCACUUGGACAAGAGGAUUCUUUUAUGUCACAUGGCAUUCAUCUCUUGUAACAUUUAGGAGCGGAUUUCUUAAGCUCGGGCUCGGUGGUUGUUAUUGAAAGAUCUUUGACAACAUCAAGAUGCCAUUUUGUGUUUUCUUUAAAGAUAAGUAACUAGAACUCACUAUCUUUCCCUUGGAGGUGUUGAUUUAGAUGUGUAUUAAUAUGUUAUAUAUUAAAUUGAUUCUCCAGAAUUUGCAUCAAGUUUAUCCAACUGACACUAUGAUGUGGCUUCCUAAUGCAUGAGACAGAAACAUCUCUGAAGCCCAUAGAAUGAAAUCAACAGUAUUUGAGGAGUUUUACAUGCCAGGUCACACACAAAAUGACACAGCACAUAUGACAAAGCAUCUCUAGCUUCAAGCACUCUUGACGCCCUUACAGAAAAUUAUGCGAAGCAGCUUAUAUAUUACAUGAAAGUCGGGAUGGCGUACCAAGGAGGAGGUCGUCUUCAUUAAUGGAGUGAAGAUGUAUACGGUGGCAUGACAACACCGCUCGCUGGUCACUUGGCUAUCACUGAAGAAGUGAAUUUCAUCGGUUAGAUGAAUGUGAAAUUCAUCGGUUAGACGUGGCGGUCUUUUGAACGUCAUGAAUAUAUUUUAGUUGAACAUUAUGUUUAUUUUUUUUGAACGGCAUACAUCACCUGGGUAAGUCGUUUACCUACAACCUACACACCCCCGGUUCGAAUCCCCCGCGCAUACAGGCUUUUCAACCCCUCGCCCGAAGGCUUCGCAUGUUUUGCAUACCCUGUGGAUUAAAGUCGGAACCAUCCGGGCGGGAACCCACGCAAGCGUGGUAAACCCUCCCACCUCUGACCAGCUAGGCUGGCCGUCAUUGGCUGAACAUUAUGUUUAUAUGUCUAUCUUAUCACCAUUUUGCACAUUGUUUUUAAUAGUAAUUGAACUUUUAAGUUUAGCUAUCUAUCUUAUCAUCGUUUUUGCACAUUGUAUUUAAUAGUUUUGCAAGAACUGUUUUCCACUAUAUUUAGUGUAUUAUUUUUGUAGUGGUCAUGCUAUAAAACAGAAAACCGAAAUACUUGUAGGAUACUUAAUUGCUCAUUAUGAACCUUGCAUGCGAUGUACGUAAAAAAAAAUACCCGCAGAAACAAAAUGAUAGUGUAGUUUAGUGUUGAAAUCAUAAAAGACUGAAAU
rnacentral:lncRNA from 1 species